CUGACUUAAUGGACAUGAGUUUGAGUAAAAUCCGGGAGUUGGUGAUGGACAGGGAGGCCUGGUGUGGUGCAGUCCGUGGGUCGGACACGACUGAGUGACUGAACUGAACUGAACUGAGGACACCGGAAUAAAACUGGCCUCAUUCAACUGUUUGUGCAGUUCUUCUGAUAAUGGAGUUACUACUUCACUUUUCAUGUGUCCAGAAGGAAACUUGGAAUCCAAAGUGGGUGAAGUUAAUGAAGAAGAACAAUCAUUGGAGACUGUCUUGAUCCAGUUCUGAGGCUCUGGCUGGAGGCUGGUCAUUCCUCUUUUCGAGCAGCUGACUGAGACCACAUCCCCAGUGACUUCUCUAAGGAACUGAUAGCUCCUGGUGUCUACGCGGCAGCCCUAAUUGCCUCAGGGCCAG